rnacentral:rRNA from 1 species
GACGAAGGGGGCUAGCGUUGUUCGGAAUUACUGGGCGUAAAGCGCACGUAGGCGGCUUUGUAAGUUAGAGGUGAAAGCCCAGGGCUCAACCCUGGAAUUGCCUUUAAGACUGCAUCGCUAGAAUUGUGGAGAGGUAAGUGGAAUUCCGAGUGUAGAGGUGAAAUUCGUAGAUAUUCGGAAGAACACCAGUGGCGAAGGCGACUUACUGGACACAUAUUGACGCUGAGGUGCGAAAGCGUGGGGAGCAAACAGG